UAUGUAGAGUUGGUCAUGCCUCUGGUAUGUACUGGUCUCACUGAUUCCUCCUUCCUGAUGAACCGUAAUGCCAUUAAUUUGGUGUUGCGGGGAAUUUGGACUGUUACUUUGAAAAAAUUAGAGUGUUUAAAGCAAGCUAACGCUUGAAUACAUUAGCAUGGAAUAAUGAAAUAGGACGUUCGAUCCUAUUUUGUUGGUUUCUAGGAUUGACGUAAUGAUUAAUAGGGAUAGUUGGGGCG
rnacentral:rRNA from 1 species